AUUGAACGCUGGCGGCAUGCUUUACACAUGCAAGUCGAACGGUAACAGGCCGCAAGGUGCUGACGAGUGGCGAACGGGUGAGUAAUGCAUCGGAACGUGCCCAGUCGUGGGGGAUAACGCAGCGAAAGCUGCGCUAAUACCGCAUACGAUCUAUGGAUGAAAGCGGGGGACCGUAAGGCCUCGCGCGAUUGGAGCGGCCGAUGUCAGAUUAGGUAGUUGGUGGGGUAAAGGCUCACCAAGCCAACGAUCUGUAGCUGGUCUGAGAGGACGACCAGCCACACUGGGACUGAGACACGGCCCAGACUCCUACGGGAGGCAGCAGUGGGGAAUUUUGGACAAUGGGCGCAAGCCUGAUCCAGAAAUGCCGCGUGCAGGAAGAAGGCCUUCGGGUUGUAAACUGCUUUCGUACGGAACGAAACGGCUCUCACUAAUACUGGGGGCUAAUGACGGUACCGUAAGAAUAAGCACCGGCUAACUCUGUGCCAGCCGCCGCGGUAACAC
rnacentral:rRNA from 1 species